GACGAACGCUGGCGGCGCGCUUAACACAUGCAAGUCGAGCGAAGCGGCGGACGGGUGAGUAACACGUGAGUAACCUGCCUUAGACAUUGGGAUAGCCUCUGGAAACCGGGAUUAAUACCAAAUGGUCUAAGAUUGACUCGCGUCCCAUUAGCUAGUUGGUGAGGUCACGGCCCACCAAGGGGACGAUGGGUAGCCUGCCUCAGAGGGAGAACGGCCACAUUGGAACUGAGAAACGGUCCAAACUCUACGGGAGGGAGCAGUGGGGAAUAUUGCACAACGGAGGGAACUCUGAUGCAGCGAGGCCGGGUGAAAGAAGAAGGCUUUCGAGUCGUAAAGUACUUUUAUAUGGGAAGCGGUACCAUAAGAAAAAGCCCCGGCUAACUACGUGCCAGCAGCCGCGGUAAUUC
rnacentral:rRNA from 1 species